UUGAACGCUGGCGGCAUGCCUUACACAUGCAAGUCGAACGGCAGCACGGAGCAAUCCUGGUGGCGAGUGGCGAACGGGUGAGUAAUAUAUCGGAACGUGCCCAGUCGUGGGGGGAUAACGUAGCGAAAGCUACGCUAAUACCGCAUACGAUCUAUGGGAUGAAAGCGGGGGAUCGCAAGACCUCGCGCGAUUGGAGCGGCCGAUAUCAGAUUAGGUAGUUGGUGAGGUAAAGGCUCACCAAGCCGACGAUCUGUAGCUGGUCUGAGAGGACGACCAGCCACACUGGGACUGAGACACGGCCCCAGACUCCUACGGGAGGCAGCAGUGGGGAAUUUUGGACAAUGGGGCGCAACGCCUGAUCCAGCAAUGCCGCGUGCAGGAUGAAGGCCUUCGGGUUGUAAACUGCUUUUGUACGGAACGAAACGGUGAGCUCUAAUACAGUUUGCUAAUGACGGUACCGUAAGAAUAAGCACCGGCUAACUACGUG
rnacentral:rRNA from 1 species